GAAUAUUGGACAAUGGGCGAAAGCCUGAUCCAGCCAUGCCGCGCGAGUGAAGAAGGCCUUCGGGUUGUAAAGCUCUUUCAGCUGUGAAGAUGAUGACUGUAGCAGCAGAAGAAGCCCCGGCUAACUCCGUGCCAGCAGCCGCGGUAAUACGGAGGGGGCUAGCGUUGUUCGGAAUUACUGGGCGUAAAGCGCGCGUAGGCGGUGUGCAUAGUCAGAGGUGAAAGCCCGGAGCUCAACUCCGGAAUUGCCUUUGAUACUGGCACGCUAGAAUCUGUGAGAGGGUAGCGGAAUUCCUAGUGUAGAGGUGAAAUUCGUAGAUAUUAGGAAGAACACCAGUGGCGAAGGCGGCUACCUGGCACAGUAUUGACGCUGAGGUGCGAAAGCGUGGGGAGCGAACA
rnacentral:rRNA from 1 species